UACGAAGGGUGCAAGCGUUACUCGGAAUUACUGGGCGUAAAGCGUGCGUAGGCGGUUUGUUAAGUCUGAUGUGAAAGCCCGGGGCUCAACCUGGGGAUUGCAUUGGAUACUGGCAGGCUAGAGUGCGGUAGAGGAUGGCGGAAUUCCCGGUGUAGCAGUGAAAUGCGUAGAGAUCGGGAGGAACAUCUGUGGCGAAGGCGGCCAUCUGGACCAGCACUGACACUGAGGCACGAAAGCGUGGGGAGCAAACAGG
rnacentral:rRNA from 1 species